GUGGGGAAUAUUGGACAAUGGGCGAAAGCCUGAUCCAGCCAUGCCGCGUGUGUGAAGAAGGUCUUCGGAUUGUAAAGCACUUUAAGUUGGGAGGAAGGGCAGUAAGUUAAUACCUUGCUGUUUUGACGUUACCGACAGAAUAAGCACCGGCUAACUUCGUGCCAGCAGCCGCGGUAAUACGAAGGGUGCAAGCGUUAAUCGGAAUUACUGGGCGUAAAGCGCGCGUAGGUGGUUUUGUAAGUUGGAGGUGAAAUCCCCGGGCUCAACCUGGGAACGGCCUCCAAAACUGCAUGACUAGAGUACGGUAGAGGGUAGUGGAAUUUCCUGUGUAGCGGUGAAAUGCGUAGAUAUAGGAAGGAACACCAGUGGCGAAGGCGACUACCUGGACUGAUACUGACACUGAGGUGCGAAAGCGUGGGGAGCAAACAGGAUUAGAAACCCUAGUAGUCC
rnacentral:rRNA from 1 species